UCCCAUAUAGUCCAGUGGUUAGGAUACUCCGCUUUCAGUCUUUCAUUCUGAGAAUUCACCGGAGAGACCCGAGUUCGAACCUCGGUGUGGGAA
rfam:Colletotrichum fioriniae PJ7 Scaffold_1038.1, whole genome shotgun sequence.